UACGUAGGGUGCAAGCGUUAAUCGGAAUUACUGGGCGUAAAGCGUGCGCAGGCGGCUUUGCAAGACAGAUGUGAAAUCCCCGGGCUUAACCUGGGAACUGCAUUUGUGACUGCAUGGCUGGAGUGCGGCAGAGGGGGAUGGAAUUCCGCGUGUAGCAGUGAAAUGCGUAGAUAUGCGGAGGAACACCGAUGGCGAAGGCAAUCCCCUGGGCCUGCACUGGCGCUCAUGCACGAAAGCGUGGGAGCGAAACAGGAUGA
rnacentral:rRNA from 1 species